rnacentral:snoRNA from 12 species
GAGCUCUCUGGUGUCUUUUCUUAUAAGGACACUGAUUCUAUCAGAUGAGGGUCCCUAGCUGGGUUUAAGAAGUGCAAUAUUUAAACAAAAGCCAUGAACUUUGUAAGCCCAGUGUGUAAAGAUACACUCUGAGUUAUAAUUCAGAGGCAUAAUU